rnacentral:rRNA from 1 species
AACCGCGGUUAUACGAGGGGCUCAAAUUGAUAGCUUACGGCGUAAAGAGUGAUUAAAUUUUAUACUAAAAUUAAGGCCGAAUAUCUCCUACACUGUUAUACGUUUACAGAGACAAGAAGCCCCACAACGAAAGUAGCCUUAAAUAUAUUGAACUCACGAGUAUUAAGAAA